rnacentral:rRNA from 1 species
AGUGAACGCUGGCGGUAGGCCUAACACAUGCAAGUCGAACGGCAGCACAGUAAGAGCUUGCUCUUACGGGUGGCGAGUGGCGGACGGGUGAGGAAUACAUCGGAAUCUACUUUUUCGUGGGGGAUAACGUAGGGAAACUUACGCUAAUACCGCAUACGACCUACGGGUGAAAGCAGGGGAUCUUCGGACCUUGCGCGAUUGAAUGAGCCGAUGUCGGAUUAGCUAGUUGGCGGGGUGAAGGCCCACCAAGGCGACGAUCCGUAGCUGGUCUGAGAGGAUGAUCAGCCACACUGGAACUGAGACACGGUCCAGACUCCUACGGGAGGCAGCAGUGGGGAAUAUUGGACAAUGGGCGCAAGCCUGAUCCAGCCAUACCGCGUGGGUGAAGAAGGCUUUCGGGUUGUAAAGCCCUUUUGUUGGGAAAGAAAAGCAGCAGGUUAAUACCCCGCUGUUCUGACGGUACCCAAAGAAUAAGCACCGGCUAACUUCGUG